UACGUAGGGUGCGAGCGUUGUCCGGAAUUAUUGGGCGUAAAGAGCUCGUAGGCGGUUUGUCGCGUCUGCUGUGAAAAUCCAGGGCUUAACCCUGGACCUGCAGUGGGUACGGGCAGACUGGAGUGCGGUAGGGGAGAUCGGAAUUCCUGGUGUAGCGGUGAAAUGCGCAGAUAUCAGGAGGAACACCGGUGGCGAAGGCGGAUCUCUGGGCCGUAACUGACGCUGAGGAGUGAAAGCAUGGGGAGCGAACAGG
rnacentral:rRNA from 1 species